UCCAUUGUUGACCACUCCAAGCUUCUAAAAUCCUUCUAUACUAAAGAUCUCCACAAGAAUCAAGCUCUAAAAACCUCCAUAACUUUGAAUCAAGACCAGGCUUUGAAGAGUUUUCAAGAUUGAAGCUUAAUGAUGUUUUUAUCUCUCAUUCAAGUAUUUGAACACGAGCAGAGGACGGAAGUGAGUCACACCAAGUAUCAAAGAAAGUGAGCUAAAGUCUACAGGUGGACAUUUUCUACUACCCCUAUUAUGUAGGCUUUCGAACUCGCUAUUAUGUAUAGCAUAUGAAACUUAUGCACAUGAUUUGAUGACUUAUGAUUUGAAGUAUAAAUGUUAUUGACUUGCCAAGUAUUUAUGAUGAUGUUGUAUGUUACCUCAGAAAUUAAAUGAUGUUUAUGAUGAUGAUACUGAAGGAAUAUUAAAUUGAA